rnacentral:rRNA from 1 species
AAUUUUGGACAAUGGGGGAAACUCUGAUCCAGCCAUCCAGCGAGUAGGAUGAAGGCCUUCGGGUUGUAAAGUACUUUUGGCAGAGAAGAAAAGGUUUCUCCUAAUACGAGAUACUGCUGACGGUAUCUGGAGAAUACGCACCGGCUAACUACGUGCCAGCAGCCGCGGUAAUACGUAGGGUGCAAGCGUUAACCGGAAUUACUGGGCGUAACGCAUGUGUAUGCGGUUAGGAAAGAAAGAUGUGAAAUCCCCGGGCUCAACCUUGUAACUGCAUUUUUAACUGCCGAGCUAGAGUAUGUCAGAGGGGGGUAGAAUUCCACGUGUAGCAGUGAAAUGCGUAGAUAUGUGGAGGAAUACCGAUGGCGAAGGCAGCCCCCUGGGAUAAUACUGACGCUCAGACACGAAAGCGUGGGGAGCAAA